UGUACCUACGGGGCGCAGCAGUGGGGGAUAUUGCACAAUGGGGGGAACCCUGAUGCAGCGACGCCGCGUGGGUGAAGGAGUAUUUCGGUAUGUAAAGCCCUAUCGGCAGGGAAGAAGCAAGACGGUACCUGACUAAGAAGCCCCGGCUAACUACGUGCCAGCAGCCGCGGUAAUACGUAGGGGGCGAGCGUUAUCCGGAUUUAUUGGGUUUAAAGGGUGCGUAGGCGGAAUAUCAAGUCAGCGGUAAAAAUUCGGGGCUCAACCCCGUCGUGCCGUUGAAACUGAUGUUCUUGAGU
rnacentral:rRNA from 1 species